UAGGGAAUCUUCCACAAUGGACGCAAGUCUGAUGGAGCAACGCCGCGUGAGUGAAGAAGGUCUUCGGAUCGUAAAGCUCUGUUGUUGGUGAAGAAGGAUAGAGGCAGUAACUGGUCUUUAUUUGACGGUAAUCAACCAGAAAGUCACGGCUAACUACGUGCCAGCAGCCGCGGUAAUACGUAGGUGGCAAGCGUUGUCCGGAUUUAUUGGGCGUAAAGCGAGCGCAGGCGGAAUGAUAAGUCUGAUGUGAAGGCCCACGGCUCAACCGUGGAACUGCAUCGGAAACUGUCAUUCUUGAGUGCAGAAGAGGAGAGUGGAACUCCAUGUGUAGCGGUGGAAUGCGUAGAUAUAUGGAAGAACACCAGUGGCGAAGGCGGCUCUCUGGUCUGCAACUGACGCUGAGGCUCGAAAGCAUGGGUAGCGAACAGGAUUAGAUACCCUGGUAGUCCAUGCCGUAAACGAUGAGCGCUAGGUGUUGGGGACUUUCCGGUUCUCAGUGCCGCAGCAAACGCAUUAAGCGCUCCGCCUGGGGAGUACGACCGCAAGGUU
rnacentral:rRNA from 1 species